rnacentral:rRNA from 1 species
UACGAAGGGGGCUAGCGUUGUUCGGAAUCACUGGGCGUAAAGCGUACGUAGGCGGACCGUUAAGUCGGGGGUGAAAUCCCAGGGCUCAACCCUGGAACUGCCUUCGAUACUGGCGGUCUGGAGUCCGGGAGAGGUGAGUGGAACUCCUAGUGUAGAGGUGAAAUUCGUAGAUAUUAGGAAGAACACCAGUGGCGAAGGCGGCUCACUGGCCCGGUACUGACGCUGAGGUACGAAAGCGUGGGGAGCAAACAGG